rnacentral:rRNA from 1 species
UAGCGCGGACGGGUGAGUAACACGUGGGCAACCUUCCCCAUAGACUGGGAUAACAUCGAGAAAUCGGUGCUAAUACCGGAUAAUCUCUGAGAAUGCCUAUUCUUAGAGUAAAAGAUGGCUCCGGCUAUCACUAAGGGAUGGGCCCGCGGCGCAUUAGCUAGUUGGUGGGGUAAAGGCCUACCAAGGCAUCGAUCAGUAGCUGGUCUGAGAGGACGACCAGCCACACUGGGACUGAGACACGGCCCAGACUCCUACGGGAGGCAGCAGUGGGGAAUUUUGGACAAUGGGGGCAACCCUGAUCCAGCAAUGCCGCGUGAGUGAAGAAGGCCUUCGGGUUGUAAAGCUCUUUUGUCAGGGAAGAAACGCACCGGGUUAAUACCCUGGUGUAAUGACGGUACCUGAAGAAUAAGCACCGGCUAACUACGU